GAGUUUGAUCCUGGCUCAGAUUGAACGCUGGCGGCAGGCCUAACACAUGCAAGUCGAGCGGUAGAGAGAAGCUUGCUUCUCUUGAGAGCGGCGGACGGGUGAGUAAUGCCUAGGAAUCUGCCUGGUAGUGGGGGAUAACGCUCGGAAACGGACGCUAAUACCGCAUACGUCCUACGGGAGAAAGCAGGGACCUUCGGGCCUUGCGCUAUCAGAUGAGCCUAGGUCGGAUUAGCUAGUUGGUGAGGUAAUGGCUCACCAAGGCGACGAUCCGUAACUGGUCUGAGAGGAUGAUCAGUCACACUGGAACUGAGACACGGUCCAGACUCCUACGGGAGGCAGCAGUGGGGGAAUAUUGGACAAUGGGCGAAAGCCUGGUCCAGCCAUGCCGCGUGUGUGAAGAAGGUCUUCGGAUUGUAAAGCACUUUAAGUUGGGAGGAAGGGCAGUAAAUUAAUACUUUGCUGUUUUGACGUUACCGACAGAAUAAGCACGGCUAACUCUGUGCCAGCCG
rnacentral:rRNA from 1 species